AUGGCCUCCUUGGUGGUGGAGACCGGGGCCGGCAGCGGCGUAGGCGCCGCGGAAGCCGACGACGACGGUAGGAAGUUGGGGAGCGAGCCCCGGUACGACGAGAUCCAGGCGGCGCGGUUGGGCGAGAGCUCGAAGAGGUUGGAGGCGAGGGAGGAGAUGAGGUGGAGCAGCGACUGCGCGCGCGGGAGCGGCGGCAGGAGCGGGAGCAGCGCCGGCGAGGUGGUUAGGGUUGGGACCGCGAUUCCGGCCGCGGACGGGGCCGCGCUCGCGGACGGCGGGUUGGCCUGCGGCGGCGAGGAGGUGGGGUUCGCGGGAGACUGGUUGGGCGGGAGCGACGGCGACGAGGCGGUCACCCCCAGCCUCGCCGGCGACGGCAUGUGCGACUGCAUCAUCGCGGCGGCGGGGGCGACGGACUGGGGAAUCCAACGCGAGGAGCAGAGGCUCGUCGACUAG
rnacentral:rRNA from 1 species